rnacentral:lncRNA from 1 species
AAUGAUUUUAACGAAAUCUAGUCAAGAUGCUAUCAUCUUUUCUGUUAUUGCGUACGUAUUUUUACAAGACACAACUUUUAAUCUCUAUUAACAUUAAUUGUCCGAAAACAAAAGAUUUCUGAUUAAUUUUAUCACUUGAUUUACGUGUAAAGCUGUUCACUUUCUAUAUCCCACAUGAACAAAUUUAUAUAGGCCAAAGGUAAAUCACGAAUUCAAAACGGCGCGAAUUAGGAUUAUGUUCAUAAAACGCGAAACAAAGACGACACGAAAAUUUCCCGGUUUACAGUACUAUAAUAUUGGUGAUUUUAACGAACUCUAGUCAAGGUGAGAUCAUUGAAUAUACAGUUGAAUGUGUAAUUCUGUUGUAUUUAUAUCUUUUCUGAGCCAUUCUGAAAUGUUUAAAUAAAUACAUUAAAUACAGUGUCUGAGCAGAAAGUUGAUGAACCAGUUGUCUUUGAGUAUAUAUUCUGGGUACUGACGUUUUCUUAAUAACGUGUUAUAAUAUUAUUUUAUUUGUCUUUAUGAAUAUCACUUUUACUGUUAAGUCUGUUUUUUAAAAUCCAUUUUACGUUACUUUGUACUUAUACAUCCCGUC